rnacentral:rRNA from 1 species
GAUGAACGCUGGCGGCGUGCCUAAUACAUGCAAGUCGAGCGAACAGACGAGGAGCUUGCUCCUCUGACGUUAGCGGCGGACGGGUGAGUAACACGUGGAUAACCUACCUAUAAGACUGGGAUAACUUCGGGAAACCGGAGCUAAUACCGGAUAACAUGUUGAACCGCAUGGUUUAACAGUGAAAGACGGUCUUGCUGUCACUUAUAGAUGGAUCCGCGCCGCAUUAGCUAGUUGGUAAGGUAACGGCUUACCAAGGCAACGAUGCGUAGCCGACCUGAGAGGGUGAUCGGCCACACUGGAACUGAGACACGGUCCAGACUCCUACGGGAGGCAGCAGUAGGGAAUCUUCCGCAAUGGGCGAAAGCCUGACGGAGCAACGCCGCGUGAGUGAAGAAGGUCUUCGGAUCGUAAAACUCUGUUAUUAGGGAGGAACAAAUGUGUAAGUAACUAUGCACGUCUUGACGGUACCUAAUCAGAAAGCCACGGCUAACUACGUG